rnacentral:rRNA from 1 species
CCUACGGGUGGCAGCAGUGAGGAAUAUUGGUCAAUGGACGCAAGUCUGAACCAGCCAUGCCGCGUGCAGGAAGACUGCCCUAUGAGUUGUAAACUGCUUUUGUACGAGGGUAAACGCAGACACGCGUAUCUGUCUGAAAGUAUCGUACGAAUAAGGAUCGGCUAACUCCGUGCCAGCAGCCGCGGUAAUACGGAGGAUUCGAGCGUUAUCCGGAUUUAUUGGGUUUAAGGGGGGCGUAGGUGGUCGGAUAAGUUAGAGGUGAAAGCCAGAGGCUCAACUUCGGAAUUGCCUUUGAUACUGUUAGGCUAGAGAAUAGUUGCGGUAGGCGGAAUGUAUGGUGUAGCGGUGAAAUGCUUAGAGAUCAUACAGAACACCGAUUGCGAAGGCAGCUUACCAAGCUGCUUCUGACGUUGAGGCACGAAAGCGUGGGGAUCAAACAGGAUUAGAUACCCGAGUAGUC